UACACGACUCUCGGCAACGGAUAUCUAGGCUCUCGCAUCGAUGAAGAACGUAGCAAACUGCGAUACUUGGUGUGAAUUGCAGAAUCCCGUGAACCAUCGAGUUUUUGAACGCAAGUUGCGCCCGAAGCCAUUAGGCUGAGGGCACGUCUGCCUGGGCGUCACGCAUCGCGU
rnacentral:rRNA from 1 species